rnacentral:rRNA from 2 species
UACGUAGGUGGCGAGCGUUAUCCGGAAUUACUGGGCGUAAAGCGCACGCAGGCGGUCUCUUAAGUUUGACGUGAAAGCUCCCGGCUUAACUGGGAGAGGUCGUUGAAUACUGGGGGACUUGAGGCAAUGAGAGGGAUGCAGAAUUCCAGGUGUAGUGGUGGAAUGCGUAGAUAUCUGGAGGAAUACCAGUGGCGAAAGCGGCAUCCUAGCGUUAGCCUGACGCUCAUGUGCGAAAGCGUGGGGAGCGAACGGG